rnacentral:rRNA from 1 species
UACGUAGGGGGCAAGCGUUGUCCGGAAUCAUUGGGCGUAAAGAGCGCGUAGGCGGCCCUGUAAGUCCGCUGUGAAAGUCAAGGGCUCAACCCUUGGAUGCCGGUGGAUACUGCAGGGCUAGAGUCCGGAAGAGGCGAGUGGAAUUCCUGGUGUAGCGGUGAAAUGCGCAGAUAUCAGGAAGAACACCCGUGGCGAAAGCGGCUCUCUGGAACGGUACUGACGCUGAGACGCGAAAGCGUGGGGAGCGAACAGG